UAAGAAAUGUGCUAUUACUGUCUUCUUCCUAAAGACAGGGAAGCUCAAAUUAUAGAGUUUAAGAACUUAAGUCAGAAAG
rnacentral:sRNA from 1 species